UACAGAGGUCCCAAGCGUUGUUCGGAUUUACUGGGCGUAAAGGGUGCGUAGGCGGUGGGGUAAGUUUGAGGUGAAAGCUCCGGGCUCAACCCGGAAAAUGCCUUGAAAACUAUCCGGCUAGAGGGUUGGAGGGGAGACUGGAAUUCUCGGUGUAGCAGUGAAAUGCGUAGAUCUCGAGAGGAACACCAGUGGCGAAGGCGGGUCUCUGGACAACACCUGACGCUGAGGCACGAAGGCCAGGGGAGCAAACGGG
rnacentral:rRNA from 1 species